GACGAACGCUGGCGGCGUGCUUAACACAUGCAAGUCGAACGAGAGGACAAGAGAAGCUUGCUUCUUUUGGAAUCGAGUGGCAAACGGGUGAGUAACACGUAAACAACCUGCCUUCAGGAUGGGGACAACAGACGGAAACGACUGCUAAUACCGAAUACGCUUGGAAGACCGCAUGAUUUCCAAGGAAAGGUGCCUCUACCUGUAAGCUAUCGCCUGAAGAGGGGUUUGCGUCUGAUUAGGCAGUUGGUGAGGUAACGGCCCACCAAACCUACGAUCAGUAGCCGGUCUGAGAGGAUGAACGGCCACACUGGAACUGAGACACGGUCCAGACUCCUACGGGAGGCAGCAGUGGGGAAUCUUCCGCAAAUGGGCGAAAGCCUGACGGAGC
rnacentral:rRNA from 1 species